rnacentral:rRNA from 1 species
GAAGGAAAUUAAGUACGGAAGUUCCUGAUUUCACGCUGUCAAGAAAAGCCUCUAGGAAGAGUAGUACUGCCCGUACCGCAAACCGACACAGGUAGAUGAGGAGAGAAUCCUAAGGUGAGCGAGAGAACUCUCGUUAAGGAACUCGGCAAAAUGACCCCGUAACUUCGGGAGAAGGGGUGCUCUAUUAGGGUGCAAGCCCGAGAGAGCCGCAGUGAAUAGGCCCAGGCGACUGUUUAGCAAAAACACAGGUCUCUGCAAAACCGUAAGGUGACGUAUAGGGGCUGACGCCUGCCCGGUGCUGGAAGGUUAAGAGGAGUGCUUAGCUUCGGCGAAGGUACGAAUUGAAGCCCCAGUAAACGGCGGCCGUAACUAUAACGGUCCUAAGGUAGCGAAAUUCCUUGUCGGGUAAGUUCCGACCCGCACGAAAGGCGCAACGAUCUGGGCACUGUCUCAACGAGAGACUCGGUGAAAUUAUAGUACCUGUGAAGAUGCAGGUUACCCGCGACAGGACGGAAAGACCCCGUGGAGCUUUACUGCAACCUGAUAUGGAAUGUUUGUACCGCUUGUACAGGAUAGGUAGGAGCCGAAGAGACGUGUGCGCUAG